CCUACGGGAGGCASCAGUGGGGAAUUUUGGRGCAAUGGGCGCAAGCCUGAUCCAGCCAUGKGGGGGUGAGUGAAGAAGGCCUUCGGGUUGUAAAGCUCUUUCGGCCGGGAAGAAAUCGUGUUCUCUAACAUAGGACAUGGAUGACGGUACCGGACUAAGAAGCACCGGCUAMCCACGUGGCCAGCAGCCGCGGUAAU
rnacentral:rRNA from 1 species